rnacentral:piRNA from 1 species
UAGGCCUUAAGAAUCAGUCUUUAGGCAUU